rnacentral:lncRNA from 1 species
GAAAAUGUGGCUUGGGGAAGGACGAGCUGGUUGCAGCGCUCUUAAUGAUGAUUUCAUGUGAUGGCAUUGUGCUGAAACUCAGUAGAACCUGCCCGGAAGUCUGCAGAUGCUCUUCAGACGUAUUUUCAAGGAUGGAUCCAUCUUGGAAUGAGGAUUUUUGUUCUUAAACCCUGUUCUGUCUCAGCUGGCUCUCUCAUUUCUUAUUUGAACUGUGAAAAUCAAAUGCUGUGUCUGGUUAGAUUUUAGGAAAAGUAUUCUGGCCCUCCCAAAUGUGAUAAGAAGCCAGUUACAGUGAUCUGGGUGUUAAAGCAGCCACAGUGGAAGAAUUCUAGCUAAAUAGAGACCAUCUGUGCCCUAGAGUGAACGCGUCUCAUCCAGCUUCUGACCCGAUUAUCUCUGAGCUAUUGCUCUCGCAGCUCCAUACAUGAGUCCAGGCCUGAGAUUCCCAGGACACAGACCAACAGGUUGUGCAAUGAAGACUUUAUGAGAAAUUAUUUUUUUCUCUUUUCCUCAGGGCCUGAAGUCAGCAAGCCAAAAAGCAUUUUAUCCUAAUAUAGAAAAGAAUUAGACAGCAGAUGCUUCUUCACAGCAGCCUGCGUGCUGGAAAGGGAAAAGAAAUGGUGCAACCCUUUCUCUGGCAAGAGUUAGGACUGAAUCAUCAUGGGAGUGUUUGCGGUGAAAUUGCAUUUUUCUCUUAGAUAGUGAAAUUAUGAUCACUGAGUUAUGGACAGCUAGUCCAGAGUGCCUUUGGUGAGAUACCCUCUUUUUCAUCACAUAAAAGUAUGUCUUUAGCUCCAAAGGAACAAAACAUUCAAGAAUAUAUCAUCAUGGGAGGGGAGCAGAUAGAAGGAAACCCUGGAAAAUAGUUGGCUCAGUUCAAGAAGUCAGGAGAGCCAACAAAGUUGUGAAGAUUUGUUUUCCUUGUGAACCAAGGCUGGAAAUUGUGACAUUAUCUCUAUAAUCAUAUAAAAACAAAAGGUCACCCAAAUGAACAAUUUUCCUAGUGGCCACCAUGAGAUAAGCUAUAAAAUCAAUUCUAUGUCACCCAACCAAAGAUAAC